rnacentral:lncRNA from 1 species
CCGUCAACAAACAAAUUUUAUAGGCAAUAAUUGAGACAAAAUAUUACAGUUCACUUCAUCAAAGUUACAUGAAGUUGGUAAUAAUGUACAAUCUUAUUUAUGCACAAGAAUGGGAGCCCCGACAACCGGGCAAAUUAACCAAAUCCCUUGGACAUACUUAGAAACUGGGAAAUAGUAAUGGUGGGAAUCUCGCCUGAACUUUUAUUCUUCUUCUUAAUCCUUUUCAUCUUCAAAGAUGCCACAUCCUUCGAUUCUGUAACUGUUACCAAGACCAAAUUAUAGAACUGCUCAAAGAUAGAAUGUAUUACAUAUCUGAUAGUCUACCUUAAUCUUCAGCAAACAAUCAAUCAACAAAUGCACAAUGACCCACUAAUUUUACUACUAUCUAAGAGAUUACUAAUGUCAUCAUCUGAUUACAUAGCUUUAAAUCCAACAUUAAACGCAGCCUCCAAAUGAGAGCACUUAUGAGCAAAUUACCUUAUGACACCAUGCAGCAAUAGACAGCCUAUCAAAUGAAAAUUGAACUCGUAGCACAAGCGCAUCUGCAUGAUUACCUCCUCAAUUAAGGCCCAUAGGCAAACCUGUGAUUAAAAUGAACCAAAGAAAAAAUUUAUGAACAAAGAUACCUCAAAAUCUUCCGCAAAACAACUUUUACUAGUAGUGAUAAACAAAAUACACUUCAAUUCAAUAAAAUUGGAUUAUUGUUUAUUGUAUCCCAAAUUGACACAAUCCUAAACUUGUUGUAAGUUGCAAGCACCACUGUUGUUCAAUGGCAGCCAGGAAAAUUAAGAAAAUUUAUUUGAAAUUUUCAUCAAUUGCUUAAUAACUAUCAAGAUUUCAAAAUUAAACCAUGCAUGCACAGAAACUUAAUCAAAUUCGGUCAAAGAAAUAAAUUAUGAGAAAAUUCAGCCAAACCAUGAAAGUUUAUAAUCUAACUAAGCAAUAUCAGUUAAAUACCCAAAAUAAACUUGAAACAAGUAUAAAAAUUUUUAUCAAAAUCUGAACUCGAACAGACUUAUCAAAACGAUUAAUAUCAAUGGUGUAACACUAAAUAAACUGAAUUUCUUUAUCAUGCAUGCAAGAUAUUUCGAAUUUGUUAUAAGUUUGAAUAAAAAGUAGAGUUUGAGAAAUAAAAGCUUACAGAUUUUCAAAGCCUCAAGCUGGUGUCGGUCUUUUGCACUCAAAUUAAUUUUUUUCUCUCAAAACCCUCCUCCCUUAAGAAGUUUGUCUUCUAUUUCUCUUCUUUCCCUCUCUUUUCUCUUUCACAACUCUGCUAUGCUCUGCUCUCACUCUCGUUUUUUUUUUCCUUCUUUUAAAGCCACUCAUAGUGAUGGUGGAGCGUUGCGAAGGCGUGUCGUGCACUGGUGUCAUGCAUCGCAAAGGCAGAUCGCAAAGACAGUAGAGCUGGAGGUGUCGCCAUGAUGUAAUGCGACAGUGGUUGUGUGGAAGCAGAUCGCGUGGAGGCAGAUCGUGUGAUGGUAGAGCUGGUGAUGCACGACAGUGGCGGUGUUGAGCUGAUAUUUGUGGAGUGGCGGUGUGGAGAUGCAGGGAGAGCCACAAUAGUGAAAAGGAGAAAUCAAGAACGAAAGCAAACUUUUUUCAUUUACAAACCCGCAUAAACCCGACUCUCACACGGGUUUGAUUUAUGCGGGUUUGACCGCAUUACAAACAUUUUUUACUACAUUGUAAUACGACGAGGAAUACUUACCAAACAUGAUACUAUAUUAUUUUAAUACACUGAGGAGUGCUAAUACCAUAUAAUGAGGGCUGCCAAACAUGCCCUAAGAGUGCGUUUGGCAUACUACAUUAUAUUAUGUUAUAUUCUAUUAUUUUAAUGUUGGUGUAUUGUAUUAUGUUGUAUUGCAUUAGCACUGUAUUAUAAUAAUGUUGUACAAUGUUUGGUGCUACACUGUACUGUAUUAUUAU